CCGGCCCUGACAUGGCGUCCUUCCCGCCAGAGACCAAGGUGUACGUGGGGAACCUGGGCACAGGCGCGGGCAAAGGCGAGCUGGAGAGAGCCUUCAGCUACUACGGGCCCCUGAGAACCGUGUGGAUCGCGAGGAACCCGCCGGGGUUUGCCUUCGUGGAGUUUGAAGACCCGAGGGACGCUGAAGAUGCUGUCCGUGGACUUGAUGGGAAGGUGAUAUGUGGCUCCAGGGUUAGAGUGGAAGUGUCAACAGGGAUGCCUCGUCGCUCCCGUUACGACAGGCCUCCUGCACGGCGCCCCUUUGACCCUAAUGACAGAUGCUAUGAGUGUGGUGAGAAAGGCCACUAUGCUUAUGAUUGUCACCGCUAUAGUCGCCGAAGGAGGAGCAGGUCCCGGUCUAGAUCCCGUUCAAGGUCCCGAGGAAGAAGGUAUUCUCGGUCACGCAGUCGGAGUCGUGGUAGGAGGUCCAGGUCAGCUUCUUAUCGUAGGUCCCGGUCCGUUUCUCCUCGUAGAUCGAGGUCUGUGUCUCCCCGCCGGUCCCGAUCGGGUUCCUUGAAGAGAUCAAGGUCUAGAUCAAGAUCCAGAUCUAGAUCCAGAUCUGUUACAUGGCCCCGAAGCAGGUCUAGGUCUCAUGGCAGAUCAAAAUCUGGCUCGCCGGCUAAGAGUCGGUCAAAGUCCCGAUCACCAUCUCCAAAGAGAAGGUAUGUUGAUCUCCCUACUAAUAACGUAGACUCCGUAGAGCUGGCAUUUUAGUAUCUGCAGUGAUCUCUGCUGAGGAGUUUGACUGCUGCUUGUAGGAAAUUACUGGAAAGUCGUUCACCGUCAGGAAGCCCUCAAAGAAGUGCAAGUCCUGAAAGAAUGGAUUAAAGUUAUGAAGUUAAUCUUUUAGGAAGAAAGUUAUUUUGCUUACAUUAUUAUAAGGGAUUUUGUGGUGUCUUUGUAAAUGUAAGAAUGUAGAUAGAAGAGUAUAUCAACUAAAAUUUGGCAUGAUCUGGGUCUUCUGAGUUAGUCACACCAAUAGACUAGCACAGGUCUCUUUUUAUUGUAUGAAUUAACUUCCUGUGAUACGAAAACGUGGGACUUUUUUAUUGGCACAUUGAAAUAAAAUGUGUAUU